CCCGUAGACUCUGGUGAGC
rnacentral:piRNA from 1 species